UUUUCUGUAGCGACUCAGCAACCCCGAACGACGUUCCUGAACAGCUUAACAGAGCCGACCCAGUGCAGACCUGUCCUUCAGUCAAACCUUCAGGGGGGUGCAGGCAGCUGUUGAUGCCUGAGGAUAGAUCCCUACCUGCGUUCUUUGCCAGGAGACGUCGAGCAGUUCCCGGAGAAGGAGACCUGCUGACCAGCACCCAAACGACCUCCAGAUCCAGACCUGCAUCAUUCAAUUAGUCGACCUCGUUUAGCACAUUCAUCACAGCUGAACUGGUAUUAACUCACAUACAGAGGGAUACUGAUUUUUCAUUGUUUUUCAAUAUGUCAGAGGACAGUCAAGAUAGGUCACCCGAAUCAGGAGUGAAUCCUUAUCUCACCACCUUAAUUUCAGAAAUAAAUGAUACGUGUCAGCCUGGAGAUCCCCUACGAGUCACCAGAGAGA